rnacentral:rRNA from 1 species
GAUGAACGCUGGCGGCGUGCCUAACACAUGCAAGUCGAACGGUAACAUGAGUAGCUUUCCUCUCGGACGUUAGCCGCGGACGUGUGAGUAACACGUGGAUCACCUGCCUAUAAGUCUGGGAUAAAUACCUGAACCCAGACCGAAUAUCAGCUAAUAUAUUGAACCGCAUGGUUCAAUGGUAAAUUACGGCUUUCGCGUUUCUUAUAGCCGGUUCCGCGCCGCAUUAGCUAGUUGGUAAGGUAAAGGCUUACCAAGGCAACGAUGCGUAGCGGACCUGAGAGGGUGAUCGGCCACACUGGAACUGAGACACGGCCCAGACUCCUACGGGAGGCAGCAGUGGGGAAUCUUGGGCAAUGGGCGAAAGCCUGACGGAGCAACGCCGCGUGAGGGAUGAAGGCCUUCGGAUCGUAAAACUCUGUUGGUAGGGAAGAACAAAUGUGUGAGAAUACAGGGCGGUAUUGACGGUACCUAAACAGAAAGCAACGGCUAACUACGUG